rnacentral:lncRNA from 1 species
ACUGUUCAAAUUUGAAUUUAAGUAAGAUUUAACAUGUUCAAAGUUCUCUUGAUAUUUGGUUAAUUAACCUUUGGUACAAGUAAGAAAAAUUUACUGCUCAUGCCCAAAGAAAAAGCCGGUGGUUUGAGCAUUCAUGUAGACCUGAUGGAAUUGAACCAGAGAGUUGGUUGUAAGCCCAAUAAAACCCUUGGAUUUUUGGAAUCCGGAUUAACAAGUACCCUCAUGCCGGUAAAGGUGAAGAAGUUGCCGGUUAACUGCUCAUGCCCAAACACGUGUCUUUUAGAACCUUGAAAGCCGGUGGUAGGGGAGCAUUAACAAGUACCCUCAUGCCGGUAAAGGUGAAGAAGUUGCCGUCAAGUGAUGUCAUGUUUGCCGGAGCUAUGAAGUCGGUGAGGAUGUCCGGAUCACCGGCCAUUGUUAUUUGGACAAUGGCUAAUGAAGAUACUAGUAAUAACAAGAAUUCAUGGCAAAAAGUUCUUGAUAUUAAUAUUGCCAUUGUAUAUAUGUAUAUAUAUAUAUAGCCUAAUUAAUAUGUAAGAGUUGAUUAAUAGUAGUAUGAUUUUGGUAU